GAUGAACGCUGGCGGCGUGCUUAACACAUGCAAGUCGAACGAAGCACUCUAUUUGAUUUUCUUCGGAGAUGAAGAUUUUGUGACUGAGUGGCGGACGGGUGAGUAACGCGUGGGUAACCUGCCUCAUACAGGGGGAUAACAGUUGGAAACGACUGCUAAUACCGCAUAAGCGCACGGUACCGCAUGGUAUCGUGUGAAAAACUCCGGUGGUAUGAGAUGGACCCGCGUCUGAUUAGCUAGUUGGUGGGGUAACAGCCUACCAAGGCGACGAUCAGUAGCCGACCUGAGAGGGUGACCGGCCACAUUGGGACUGAGACACGGCCCAAACUCCUACGGGAGGCAGCAGUGGGGAAUAUUGCACAAUGGGGGAAACCCUGAUGCAGCGACGCCGCGUGAGCGAAGAAGUAUUUCGGUAUGUAAAGCUCUAUCAGCAGGGAAGAAAAAAUGACGGUACCUGACUAAGAAGCA
rnacentral:rRNA from 1 species